UACGGAAGGCAGCAGUGGGGAAUAUUGCACAAUGGGCGCAAGCCUGAUGCAGCCAUGCCGCGUGUAUGAAGAAGGCCUUCGGGUUGUAAAGUACUUUCAGUCGUGAGGAAGGUGUUAAGGUUAAUAACCUUAGCAAUUGACGUUAGCGACAGAGGAAGCACCGGCUAACUCCGUGCCAGCAGCCGCGGUAAUACGGAGGGUGCGAGCGUUAAUCGGAAUUACUGGGCGUAAAGGGCACGCAGGCGGUUAAUUAAGUUGGAUGUGAAAUCCCCGGGCUUAACCUGGGAAUGGCAUUCAAGACUGGUUAGCUAGAGUCUUGUAGAGGGGGUAGAAUUCCAUGUGUAGCGGUGAAAUGCGUAGAGAUGUGGAGGAAUACCGGUGGCGAAGGCGGCCCCUGGACAAAGACUGACGCUCAUGUGCGAAAGCGUGGGGAGCGAAACAGGGAUUAGAUACC
rnacentral:rRNA from 1 species